rnacentral:rRNA from 1 species
UACGGAGGGUGCGAGCGUUGUCCGGAAUCAUUGGGCGUAAAGCGCGCGUAGGCGGCCCCAUAAGUCCGCUGUGAAAAGUCAAAGGCUCAGCCUUUGAAAAGCCGGAUGGAUACUGCGGGAGCUAUGAGUCGGAAGAGGCGAGUGGAAUUCCUGGUGUAGCGGUGGAAUGCGCAGAUAUCAGGAGGAACACCAACAGCGAAGGCAGCUCGCUGGGACGUUACUGACACUGAGGCGCGAAAGCGUGGGGAGCGAACAGG